AACAUCACUACGUAUAUGUGGAGCUGAUUUGGUUCUGUUAAGAUAACCCCUGGAAAUGCCAUAAUUUUAUCUGCUGGCAGAAUGGUGUCAAAAAAGGACAAAUGGACUUUGGGCUGGUAUUUGUUGGGCUCUAUGUUUGAGCAUUCUAACAAUAAAGAAUAUCAUAGUAACAAUGCACUCUCAGAUUAGAUCUCACAGAGGGCUCUUUUGCCAGCCAGCAAUGUGCCACCAAGGCGCUGUCACCCCCAUCUCCAGAGUAGACACACCUGCCCAGGCUUCCAGCCUGAGCAGUGAGCUUCAUCCAGUGUGCCUGGCCAGAUUCAAAGGAAACAGAAGAAGACACUCUCAAAAAUUGGGAUUUCUUUUUUGGCAGGGCCAUGGUUACAUUUGUCUGAACUCACCAGCCUGAAACACUGGAGGAAUAAUAAACAGGCAGAGACCAGCACUUUGAAUUUUUUUUCUAAUUGAAAGAACCAUUGCACAACCCAUGACUUGAAAAGAAAAAGCUGGUAAAAUAUGAUUUUAAUGAUAAAAUAACCUAAUUAGGCUUUACUGUUGUAUAGAAGACAUAAGCAUAGAGGAAGAUAAAUUCUUGUCUUUCCCACUGGUUUGCGCAGAGACAUUACCUUCUGGAUGAGGCAGAGGGCACCUGUGCACUCACCCCAGUCUCGCAUUCAUCUGUCAGUUUCUUCCUUGAACUCCCCAUUAGUCUGAGAUCUUCUUUAAUGGACAGUGCCUGCAUUUGAGAAUAUUCAUCUUCAUAAUGUGUGAAAUAUUUGCCAUGCUUUCAUCUGCAUUUCAAGUGGUUCCACAAGAAAAUGUACAUGUGGUGAGCAUCAAUCGUUUAUUAUGAACAAAAUGUAUUUAAAAAGUGCCAUAUUUUGUCCUGCUUCAUUUCAAGUGAGUUGUGAAAGAAACUUUAGAGCUUGCAGGGAUGUUAGAAAUUCAAAACAAGUUUCCAUAGACUUAAACGCAAUGUAGGGAAAUUUAUGUUACACGGGAAUACGUUUAUCAUAUUAGGUACAAGAUUGUAGUACAAUAAGCGUUACACAUUUUAUAAAUUUAACAGUAACUAAAGGACUGUACAAGGAUACAAAAUAAAUCAGUGACAUUUGGAUCAAGUGCAGUUGCAGUGGGUUUGGACUCUGACAGCAUCUUCCUACACUGAGAGCUAUAAACACUUAGACAGAAAUGAAAGACUGAUUCAAGGGGGGCAUCAUCAAUAAAACCUCCUUGAGAAUACAUAUGUAAGCCACAUUGUCGAAGAGUGCAGACAUACGAAGGCUGAAUGGGAUCUUAUUCAGUUAACCAAAGAGAAACUAAAGGGAACUGAAUGACAGAGUGUGGAAGGGAAUACCUAUGAAAGAACAGCAAAAUGGAGAGGAAAAUUUCCAGGAGUGUAGAGGCAGAGAAGUCUGAUUUAAGGUAAUCAGCUAACUGAAGAUAAAUCUGUGAUCCAAACACAUUUUCUGUUUCCAGGGUACUAAUGAAGAUUUCUUUGAGGAGAAAAAUACCUAAGUUCUAACCCAGUAGAACUACUCUCAGAAUCCCCAAAAUGUGUUGCUGUCAGGUUAGGAAAAGUAAUCAACUUCAUCUCCCCUUGGGGUAAUUUAAGCAAGAGCAUAUCCAGAAUUGAAUGUUCUACCUUGCUCACCAUGUCUAUUAUCUGUGUUCUGUCUGUCUGUCUAACUAUCUUCUGCUGUGGAAUGUGUCUGAAUCUGUGCCUGUUAAAUUCUCUCUUGCUUGUCUCUCUUUGUGGCUGUGACCCUAAUGAAAAUCUUUGCUAUUUGUUUAACAGAUAAGAAAGCAUCAUAUUUAUAACAAACAGGAGAAUACUUUACAGAAAAUUUUAAGAACAUUUUAUAGAGGAUGAACUUUACUGUCUCUGUCUACUGCCCCACUUAUCCAUACACUAAACAGUUCAAUACUGUUGUACUGAACUUUCUCAUGAAGUUAUAUUUCAAAGGUAUAAAUUUUAAAUUAAGAAAUAAUUACAAAAAUGUGACAUGAUAAGCAACCAUUUGUCUUGCAAUCACUCAAAAUCUAUCCGUGAGGACUAUUUUGCUAAAAUAUAUUCUAGAGGAUGUUUGUUCUCAAAAGAGAUCCAUCUUCCUUCCCAAUAUUCCUGACCUCUGUUCUUAGCUUUCUAGUCCCAGUGCAGUAAAUCUAAACUUCAUUUCUCACUGUACCAGUCAGUACAGUUCAGGCAAUGUUCUGUGUGGGACUCAUGUAGGGAUCUGUGAAGGAUUGGGGGCUAAGGUGAAUUCUUCAUUUAAAUAUUUCUCCAU